rnacentral:lncRNA from 1 species
AUGGAACCUCGAGUGCCAGCCAUUCUCAACGCCCGGCCUGGCCAUCUGUCCCGUUCAGAACCAAAUGUUCACAGGACGCUCGCUCUGUCCCAGAACCACGGAGCUUCUGAUGACAGGAACAGAGCCGAAGUCUCCAACCCCGUCGAGCCUCUUCCAGAACUCCCAGGUCCCAGCUCGGAUAGCGGUGCUCGUGCUGUGUCAGUCGCUGCCUUGCACACGAGCUGCUCGUGUCUGCCCCCGAAGACAGAAGGCGCAUCUUUGAUGUCCCGACAGCAAUUAAGUGACAAGCUGAACAUCGCACACUCCGCUCGUCUACCAGGGAAAAGGCAGCUUCACCGGCUAUAUCCACCUGGAGAGGGUGUGUUCUCAUUAAGUCAGAACCGAAGGGCCAAACACUGGCAGAACCUCUGCAGGUGUUGGCGAUGA